rnacentral:rRNA from 1 species
GAGUUUGAUCCUGGCUCAGGACGAACGCUGGCGGCGUGCUUAACACAUGCAAGUCGAACGGAGUGCUCCGGAAAAGAGAUUUCGGUCAAUGGAUGGAGUUACUUAGUGGCGGACGGGUGAGUAACGCGUGAGGAACCUGCCUUUCAGAGGGGGACAACAGUUGGAAACGACUGCUAAUACCGCAUAACGCAUGGGUAUCGCAUGGUAUCUGUGCCAAAGAUUUAUCGCUGAGAGAUGGCCUCGCGUCUGAUUAGCUAGUUGGUGAGGUAACGGCCCACCAAGGCGACGAUCAGUAGCCGGACUGAGAGGUUGGCCAGCCACAUUGGGACUGAGAUACGGCCCAGACUCCUACGGGAGGCAGCAGUGGGGAAUAUUGGGCAAUGGGCGCAAGCCUGACCCAGCAACGCCGCGUGAAGGAAGAAGGCUUUCGGGUUGUAAACUUCUUUUAAGAGGGAAGAGCAGAAGACGGUACCUCUUGAAUAAGCCACGGCUAACUACGUG